ensembl:lncRNA
GUCCCCCCAGCUCCCUCUGUCCCCCAGCUCCCUCUGUCCCCCCGGCUCCUCUGUCCCCCAAGCUCCUCAGUUUCAUGUUGUUACUGGACACAUCUUAAAACCCAGAGCCUGGAAAUGUGACCUUAUUCAGAAAAAGAGUCUUUGUGGGAAACUUAAGUGAGGGGUCUUGAGAGGAGGUCGUCCUGGGUAGGGUGGGCCCUAAAUCCAACGGCCAGUACCCUUAGAAGAGACGAGGAUGGAGCCAGACGCGCAGGGAAGGCAUCUGCGUGCGGACAGAGGCAGAGAUGGGAGUGAGGGCCACAAGCCAGGGAGCCCCAGGAGCUGGACGAGGCAGGAAGGGCCCUGUCCCAGCACCUUCAGAGGAAGCCAGCGCUGCCCGCACCUUGAUUUCAGGCUCCCAUCUGCAGGCUGUGAGAGCCCCAACGUCCACUGUCACAGCCCCCAGAGUGUUGGUGCUUUGAUACUCAGAGAACACACACGGACACCUGCCUGGCUACGGCCCCUCUUGGGCAGAUGGCAGAACCCAGUCCACUCAGUCUGCAGCCACGAGCCUGGAAUUUCCCCCAGUGCAGGAAUGAGGUGGAGCGCCAGCAGCUCAGGGGUGCCGGGAGCCAAGCACAGGAGGCUCGCGGGGUGCUGAGCCCAGGAAACCCGCAGCAGCCAGGCAGCAUGGUGCUCCCCAAGCACACUCGGCCCCCACAUCUCCGGGCCGUGCUGUCAGCGCUCCUCCUCCUCCUAGAGGUGAGAGGCUGUGGCUUCAGAUCUCAGCAGCCUGAAUCCCCGAGUCACCACGGGGAGGACUUGCCCGACUCACACGGAAGCCGUGGCUGUAUCGAGUGGGGGGUCUUGCCCCCCAACAGCAAUCCCAGUCCGCCUGACCCACACAUCCUCUCCCCAGUGAUCCAGGCCAAAUGGAGUAUGGAGCACACCCUGUGGGAUAGGCAGGCCCAGUUCUCCAUCUUCUUCACAAACAAGACAUCUGAAGAUGUGGCACCGUUUGACGAGAAACCCAAACCUCUCGCAACAGUGGGAUUCCUCCCCCAUCCCUACGUCUCACGCUGCCGUCCUCACAUGUUCUGUGACUCAGACCCCACGAAGCUCAUGAUGCUGGACACGCACGCGUGCAGAUUUGCCGUUUAAAAGAGAUGACGAGGAGAGGACAGGCUCCUUGCUUACCUGCACGGCCACACGUGGGCUGUUGCCACCCUACCCUUUGGCGAGUUCCUUACCUUGUGCAGAUCACGCAGCUGUAGCACGUUUUGUCAUGCGGCUCCUAGGACUGCAAAUUUUCUCAGUUUCAUUUACUUCAAAGCACUUUUAUUUCACCUUCACCUUCACUCUGAGGAUUUCUUGCUGGAUUUGGAGCGGUGGGGCGGCUCCUCGCUUUCAUUCCUCUGCCCCCCGCCCUCCGCCCUCCGCCCCCCGCCCUCCGCCCUCCGCCCUCCGCCCUCCGCCCUCUGCCCUCUGGUUUUUGAUGAGGAGGCACCGGCAUUCGGCACCUCUGGCCGCCCUUUUCUCCGGCUUCUCCCAAAUUUUCUUCGGUUUUCAGCAGUUUGACUGUGCUGUGCCUACAUGUGAGUUUCUAUUCAUCCUGUCUGAAGUUAGCCAAACUUCUUGUGUCUAUAAAUUGAUGCUUUUCACUACGUCUGGGGAAGUUUAGGCCAUUAUUUCUCUAAAUAAAGUGUUUGUGCUCCAGUCUGUCUCUCCUCCC